CUCGGUGAGACAGAUCCUUCCGCCCAGCCAUGGCCAACGGAGUGAUCCCGCCGCCCGGAGGCGCCUCCCCCCUUCCCCAGGUCCGGGUGCCCUUGGAGGAGCCCCCUCUGGGUCCAGACACGGAGGAGGACGAUGACUUGGGCAAGACCUUGGCUGUGAGCAGGUUUGGGGACCUCAUCAGCAAGACCCCAGCCUGGGACCCUGAGAAGCCCAGCCGAAGCUACAGCGAGCGGGACUUUGAGUUUCACCGGCACACAUCCCACCACACCCACCACCCGCUCUCGGUGCGCCUGCCUCCACCCCACAAGCUUCGGCGACCACCCCCCACCUCUGCCCGGCACACCAGGAGGAAGAGGAAGAAGGAGAAAACCUCUGCUCCCCCCUCCGAGGGGACCCCACCCAUCCAGGAAGAGGGGGGAACUGGAGCAGAUGAGGAGGAGGAGGAAGAAGAGGAAGAGGAAGGGGAGUCUGAGGCAGAACCCGUGGAGCCCACACCCUCAGAGUCCCCACAGAAAGCAAAGUUCUCCAUUGGAAGCGAUGAGGAUGACAGUCCAGGCCUCUCUGGCAGGGCAGCCUACACCACGCCCUUGCCCUCAGUGGCCCUGCGCUCAGACCAGAGUCCUCAGCACACUGUCAGCUCCCCCAGCCCCCGGGCCCGGGCCUCCCGAAUCGCUGUGGAGAAGGGCCGGCCCUGGAGUCCAUCAGCCAGUUAUGACCUGCGGGAGCGACUGUGCCCAGGCAGCGCCCUGGGCAAUCCAGCUGGCCCAGAGCAGCAGGUGCCCACAGACGAGGCGGAGGCCCAGAUGCUGGGCUCCGCGGACCUGGAUGACAUGAAGAGUCACCGGCUAGAGGACAACCCUGGUGUGCGGCGGCACCUAGUGAAGAAGCCUUCACGGACUCAGGGUGGGAGGAGCAGCCCCAGUGGCCUGGCCCCCAUCCUGCGCAGAAAGAAGAAGAAGAAGAAGCUGGACCGGAGGCCUCAUGAGGUGUUCGUGGAACUGAACGAGCUGAUGCUGGACCGCAGCCAGGAGCUCCACUGGCGGGAGACAGCCCGCUGGAUCAAGUUUGAAGAGGACGUGGAGGAGGAGACAGAGCGCUGGGGGAAGCCCCACGUCGCCUCACUUUCCUUCCGAAGCCUCCUGGAGCUCAGGAGGACCAUUGCCCAGGGAGCGGCCCUCCUGGACCUAGAGCAGACCACCCUGCCGGGCAUCGCACACCUUGUGGUGGAGACCAUGAUUGUGUCAGACCAGAUCCGGCCGGAGGACAGGGCCAGUGUCCUGCGUACCUUGCUCCUGAAACACAGCCAUCCCAAUGAUGACAAGGACAGUGGCUUCUUCCCCCGAAACCCAUCGAGCUCCAGCAUGAACUCAGUCCUGGGGAAUCAUCACCCGACCCCUAGCCAUGGACCUGACAGUGCAGUGCCAACUAUAGCUGAUGACUUGGGGGAGCCAGCCCCGCUCUGGCCACAUGACCCUGAUGCCAAGGAGAAGCCCCUCCACAUGCCCGGGGGAGAUGCUCACCGGGGGAAGAGCCUGAAGCUGCUGGAGAAGAUCCCUGAAGAUGCUGAGGCCACCGUCGUGCUUGUGGGCUGUGUGCCUUUCCUGGAGCAGCCAGCGGCAGCCUUUGUGCGACUGAGCGAGGCUGUGCUCUUGGAGUCUGUGUUAGAAGUCCCGGUCCCUGUUCGCUUCCUCUUUGUGAUGCUGGGGCCCAGCCACACCAGUACGGACUAUCAUGAGCUUGGGCGCUCCAUUGCCACCCUCAUGUCUGACAAGCUGUUUCAUGAGGCUGCCUACCAGGCUGAUGACCGGCAGGACCUGUUGAGCGCCAUCAGCGAGUUCCUGGACGGCAGCAUUGUGAUCCCUCCAUCUGAGGUCGAAGGCCGCGACUUGCUACGCUCUGUGGCCGCCUUCCAGCGCGAGCUGCUGAGAAAGCGACGGGAGCGCGAGCAGACCAAAGUCGAGAUGACAGCCCGCGGAGGCUUUGUGGCCCCUGGGAAAGAGCUACCUUUGGAAUUGGGGAGCUCUGAGGCAGCCCCUGAAGAUGACCCCCUACUGCGGACGGGCUCGGUGUUUGGGGGCCUCGUCCGGGAUGUGAAGCGCCGCUACCCACACUACCCCAGCGACCUGUGGGACGCCCUGCACUCGCAGUGCGUGGCUGCUGUGCUCUUCAUCUACUUCGCAGCCCUCAGUCCUGCCAUCACCUUCGGGGGGCUGUUAGGAGAGAAGACGGAGGGGCUGAUGGGGGUGUCUGAGCUGAUCGUGUCCACGGCUGUGCUUGGCAUCCUCUUCUCCCUGCUGGGGGCCCAGCCGCUGCUCGUGGUUGGCUUCUCUGGACCACUGCUCGUCUUUGAAGAAGCUUUCUUCAAGUUCUGCCAAGCCCAGGACCUGGAGUACCUCACUGGCCGCGUGUGGGUUGGCCUCUGGCUGGUGGUGUUUGUCCUUGCCCUGGUGGCUGCUGAAGGCAGCUUCCUGGUUCGCUACAUCUCGCCUUUCACCCAGGAGAUUUUCGCCUUUCUCAUCUCGCUCAUUUUCAUCUAUGAGACCUUCCAUAAGCUCUACAAGGUGUUCACAGAGCACCCACUGCUGCCGUUCUACCCCCCCGAGGGGCCCCUGGUUGCCGGCCUGGAGCUGAACAGCAGUGCUCUGCCCCCCACUGAGGGGCCACCCGGCCCUCGGAACCAACCCAACACGGCUCUGCUGUCCCUCAUCCUCAUGCUGGGGACCUUCCUCAUCGCCUUCUUCCUGCGCAAGUUCAGGAACAGCCGCUUCCUGGGUGGCAAGGCUCGCCGCCUCAUCGGGGAUUUUGGCAUCCCUAUCUCCAUCCUGGUGAUGGUCCUGGUGGACUACUCCAUCACAGACACCUACACCCAGAAGCUGACAGUGCCCACAGGGCUCUCGGUGACCUCCCCCCAUAAGCGCACAUGGUUCAUCCCCCCUCUGGGUAGUGCCCGUCCUUUCCCACCCUGGAUGAUGGUGGCAGCGGCUGUUCCCGCCCUCCUGGUCCUCAUUCUGAUAUUCAUGGAGACACAGAUCACAGCGCUCAUUGUCAGCCAGAAAGCACGAAGGCUGCUCAAGGGUUCCGGCUUCCACCUUGACCUGCUGCUGAUUGGCUCCUUGGGUGGCCUCUGCGGGCUCUUUGGGUUGCCCUGGCUCACCGCGGCCACUGUCCGCUCAGUCACACAUGUCAAUGCGCUCACCGUGAUGCGCACUGCCAUCGCCCCCGGUGACAAGCCCCAGAUCCAGGAGGUGCGGGAGCAGCGGGUCACCGGGGUGCUCAUCGCCAGCCUUGUGGGCCUGUCCAUCGUCAUGGGGGCUGUGCUGCGCCGGAUCCCAUUGGCUGUGCUCUUUGGGAUUUUCCUGUACAUGGGGGUCACGUCGCUGUCUGGUAUCCAGUUGUCCCAGCGUCUAUUGCUCAUCCUUAUGCCAGCAAAACACCAUCCUGAGCAACCCUACGUGACCAAGGUGAAGACGUGGCGGAUGCACCUGUUCACCUGCAUCCAGCUGAGCUGCAUCGCACUGCUCUGGGUGGUCAAAUCCACAGCGGCCUCUCUCGCCUUUCCCUUCCUGCUGCUGCUCACAGUGCCUCUGAGGCGUUGUCUUCUGCCCAGGCUUUUCCAGGACAGGGAGCUGCAGGCGUUGGACUCAGAAGAUGCUGAACCAAACUUUGAUGAGGAUGGCCAGGAUGAGUACAAUGAGCUGCACAUGCCCGUGUGACCCUCAAGGAUGGUGCCCCUCAGAGACCUGCACCAGGGCCCCAGGCAGAGCCCUGUGCCAGGAUGAGGGCACUCUUCUCCACCCAGGGAUGUUCCCAGAGCCACUGCUGAUGCCAGGCCAGAGUGACCUCUCUGACUCCAGCCCAGGGCCUCUCACAGACCACACCGGCACAGGCUUUGAGCUUAUUAUAAUCACACUCCUUGUCUUGUGUCUGCCUCAUUUCUUUGGGUCCAUCUCUGGUUUUUCAGGAUUGGUCACACAGAGUCCUUAUCCAUCUGGAACUGGAAGAAUUCCUCUAUCAUGGUCCUCAAAACCUGGCAGAAGUUUGAGGGAAGGAGAAUCCAUGGGGGAAAGGGGAGAAUCAAGACAAGCAGAGCCUUAACCUUCCCCUCCAUCCCCCCGCAAGUACAGCUGAGGAGCGAGGCCCAAGGUCUGCUCAAGGCGUCAGGCUAGUAGCGAGUGCUCCGAAGCCACUCAGAAGAGGCCCCACGGACCGCUGCCAGGAUGUUCGUUGGAUUCCUAUGGAGGAGCUGAGCCUUCCAGCUGUCCGGGAUUAGCAUCUAGCUCCAAGCAUUUAGUUCCAGCAGCCCGGUUCCCCUCGGUCUCUGGCGCCACUGUGCCUCUCACUUCAUGAGGCCGCCGGCCUAUGUGAGGGCAAGAUUUCUUUUCCCUUACACUGGCCUAGGCGAGGUGGAAUAUGAAAAGAACUUUGUCAAGGAACAAAGCGAAGGUCAAAUAUAAAACCUAGGCCACACUGUGCAGGGCCGACUCCAAGCAUGGAGAUGGCAGGGCCUGUUCACAAUCAGGCUUGGCUGUGAGGUUGCACUUGGGACCCUCACUACCUCCCCCUAGCCUCAAACCCUGUGCUGGGCCUUGAUUUUGGCGGGCUUUCUUGUCCUUCAGGAAAGGUCUUGCACUUUUCCAGACUCCUGAGAAGUGCCAACCUGAGCCUGGGGAGCUCGGACUUUUCAUUGGAUAGGGCUUAUGCCAGUCGUUCGUGCUUGACCAAUAGCUGAGAAGUGUGGGUGUUGCUCAGCUGCUAAGAAGAACUAUAAAGGGAAUGGGGCCUUACGUAAUGGGGCCUUAGGUAAUGGGGAAGGAGGCUUUCGACCUGGCUGUUGCUCGGUCAGGGUGGCCUCCAAUACAACUAAUCUUUGAGGCCUCAGAGCAAAAGGUGAGAAAACUUUAGUGAAAGAGCCACACAAAACCUUAUGUCAGCCAAUGUGGUGAGAAUGAGUAAGGCCCAAGAUCCUGGAGCUUUGAAAACCGCCCUCGUUCCUAUUCCCCUGGAACUCACCCUUCACCGAGGAAGACCCGGAGCCCAGGCCGGCUAACAUACGCUGAGGAGGAGGUCAGAGGAGGGGCGUUUGGAGGGGAUGAGAUGACUUAGGGCACUGCGGCAGCCACAAGGUUCAGAGGGUGGGUGUGUUGAGGGACAGGAACCAGAAGCUAGUUAGUGGGGCCAGGUUGGGUAUGUACGAGUGAGACCAGGGCUGAUAAGAUAACAAGGAAAACUCAGGAGGACCUCAGGCCUGGUGGAAGCCCGGAUGAUCAGUUUCAGGAUUUAUCCUCAAGCCUUGGUGGCCCCAGCCUUUCCCCUACUUUUUCUUCAUUAGGCCCCUGGCCUUAUUCUCUCAGAGCUUGGGAGCCCAGACUGGAGCCUUUUU